CCUGUGCACCGCAACGGGAGAGGCCACAACAGUGAGAGGCCCGCGUACCGCAAAAAAAAAAAAAAAAAAGUGUAUAUCAGAUCCAUCCACCUCUCUCCUUAAGACCUUGCAAUGGCUUCCAAUCAACUGCAAAUAAAAUCCAGUCUCCUCCUCGAGUCCUGCGAGGCCCCACGUGACGUGGCCCUUGCCCACCCCCCUGCCUCCUCCUGGAUGUCUCUUCCUCUCAUUCGUUGUGCGUGCUCCAGCCACACGAGCACCCUUUGGUCUCUCGAUCGUCUCAAGCUGGUCCCUGCUCCAGAGCUUCUGUGUUAGCUGUCCCUCUGUUUGGAACACUUGGCGCCAAUGUCACCUUCCCUGAUCACCCACUUGGCAAACAGUCCCCCUUGACACCUUCUAACAUGCCACCCUUUGUACUUUAUAGCAUUAUCACUAUCUGGAAUCAUACUUUUUUUUUUUUGUCUCCACUCAGGCAAGCUUCCUGAGAGCUGCACUUUGUCGUGCUCAGCCUGAUACUCAGCAUGUGGAACAGUGCCUAGAAGGUGCUUAGUUAAUUUAGUGAACAUUAACUGAGCAUCUCCUAGGGACCAGGCGCUGUAUUGGAUGCUGGGACUGAAGUGAUGAAUGCGGCAGACUGGGGUCUUGUCCUCUCGGAGCUGCAUUCUGGAGGAUAUUCGUUGACUGAAAGGAGGCAGGGAGGCAGGCGGGUGUGAUAGUAAAGAUGUACGUAUUUAAUGAAUGAAGUGAUCAGGUGACUUUUAAUCAGGACAAGGAGGGGAGGACAUUCUGAAUAUGAGCCAUCUACCUUCUGGGCACUUUAUAGUGAUCGUGUCAUUUUAUCCUAUUCACCAUGUUGUCGGUGAUUGUGUCCCCAUUUUACAGAAAGGUCCCACAGCUAGAAGCAGGGGAGUUAGAAUCGAUAUCUGAUUCAUUCGGUGUCAGAGCCUCUGCCUGGUGUCCCAUGAUGCUGAGGCACAGAGGAGUGACAGCAUAAGCCAGCCGCCGCCUCUUCCUGUCUGACCAGUCCAGCCGCCUCAAUACCCUCUAAGUCACGUGGCUACUUCCUGGUCUCAGCCUUUCCCCUACUCCCCGGUCCACUGCCAUAGCUUCUUGCCUGGCCUCCCCUCUUCAGACUGGUCUUCUCCAACUGUCUUUCCUAUGGCAGAUAAGUGACCUUUCUAAAAACAAACCUCAUCAUGCCUAAAACCUUGUGCUCAGUCCAGACUCCUGGCUCUGACCCACAAGGCCACGCUUCCCCUGGCCAUGCAACUGACUACUCUGAUUCUUCCUCUUCCUUGGGGCCCUGAGAUGGUGCUCAGGGCACUGCACACCUCCCACCUCCAUGCCCUUUGUGCACUGUGCUUGCUCUGCCUGGAAUGCUCUUCCUCAUGUCUCCACCUGAAGAUCCCCGCCCCCCACAUCCCACUAUUCCAAGGUAAGGGUGGUCAUCCUCUUACAACUGUCAGGCUGUGUUGAAAGGGCUUCUUGGUGCUUCUGUCCAUGCUCGAAAGCAGGGACUGUGUCUUAAUAAUAGAAUCCAAUAUUGAUUAGGUUGUGGAGUUGAUAAUCCAUUAUCUCAUUGGAAAAAGUAGGCAUUAUUACUUCCAUUUUAUAGAUGAGGGAACUGAAGUUCAGAAAGGCGUUGCUGAUUUGUCCAAGGACAAAGACUUGAACAGAGAAGAGUUGAAUCCACAUGCCCGACUCCAGACUUAGUGUACUUUCCUUGUCUGCACAAUCAUCCCGAGGACAGGCAGUAAACACCCUCUGGGUGCCAGGUUCUGUGCUAAGUGACCACAACACUGGAGACAGAAGCCACGUCCAGGCACUGUGCUCCUCUGCUGGUGUCUGUUUACAGAAGGGUUGUGAUAUUGGAGUUUAGGACACACAGAGGACCUGCCACUUGUCCCUAAAAAGCACCAUCUUUUAGGGUCAUCCCAGAGCUCCAGCUUGUUGAGAGCCUUUGGGAUCCUGGCUCUGUUGCCCACUCUUUCUGCUCUGCCUCCCAGCUUUGUCCAUCCACAGAUCUGAGCACUGGACCUCUCCAACCUCAUCCAAGUCGCCAAUAAACAAUCAGAUCAGAGCCAUGGAAAGAGCCGUGGGGUGUGUCACCCCAGACCACCUGCUCAGACAACCUGGGCAUAAGAGAUUGCCACAUAAUUAAGUCUCAUCAAGUCUUGAGCGUCCCAGCCAGCCUUGGCGAGACCUCCCAGGUUUCCUACACAGAGAUUGGGAGUGGCGGCCCACUGCACCUGAGGCAGAUGAAGUCACCUAGGGUCAGGGCCGUGUGGGGUUUGCCCUUGCAUGUCCAGCACCCAGCAUGGCGCCUGGUACUCAGUGGGUACCCAGUGAAGGCUUGUUGAAUGGAGGAGUGGGUGAUUUGUUAUUAGUGAACCCUUUUGGCCCACCUGUUACUUCCUUCUCAUCCUAAACAGGAAUGUCCUGGUCAGCCCCUGUCCUCAGCCCUUUUCACAUUUAUCUUAACUACUGCUCUGACCUUGCUUUGUGCCCAUAAGGACAAAUAGCUCCCAGUAUAUAUUCAACCUGGGACUUUCUCCUCGUCUGCAAGUCCUCAUCCAUCCAGUUCCCCAUCUCUAUACCCCCUUCAUCUCCAUCCAUCCAAUAAGCAUAUUGAACUCCUCCCACAGGAAUUACUUCAGGGUAACCAAUCAGAAAUAGUCCCUGCCUGAAUGGCGCUUUCAUUCUUCUAGCAAACAGACACCAAGUGCACAACCACAUAAAAACACUUGUUAGAAGUGCAGUAAAGCAGAAGCACUGCUUUAUCAGAGUAAACUAAGUGGUACCUGGUUCAUCCUGGGUGUGUGUGUGUGUGUGUGUGAGGGAAUGCUUCCUGAAGGAAGUGACAUUUAAGCCAAGAGCUGCAUUGUCACAAAAGCCAAGGAGUGAGUGUAUUUCAAGAAGGGUGGUGGCAAUGGCUUCACAUGCUGCUGAAUUAACUUCAGGGAGAUUGUUGAGAUGAUUUGGCAUAAACCAGACUGGAUUGGGUGGAGGAGUGAGUGAAAGAUGAGGAAGUAAAGGCAGCAAGUGUAGAUAACUUGAGAAACUUGGCUGGGAGCGGAGGAAAGAUGUCAGGGUGGUAGCUAUGAAGGAUGUAGAUCUGAGAGAAUCUUGGAAAAAAUGUUAAAUUAUUUUUUUAAGAUGGGAGAGACUUAAGCGUGUUACAUGCUGCUAGAAAGGAGCCAUAGAGGUAAUAGAGGAGAUACAUCGAGAUAAAGGCGGGAAGGGAGGGUUCGACCUAUCUAUCAUUCCUCCACUUAAGAAAUAUUACUGAGCAGCUGUCGUGUGCCAGGCACUUUGAAAAAGGCUGACAAGGUACUUGCUUUUACGGAACUUAUUUUUUUUAGGGAGGAAGGCAAGACAUAAGUAAAUAAGAUAAUUUCAGCGAAUGGUAAGUGUGAUGAGGAGAUAAAAUGGGGUGAUGUAAUGGAGGGGUGGAAUCAGGAAAGGGUGAGGUAACAAGGCCCCGGGUGCUACAGGGGUGGUGCAGCUGCCAGAUGGCCUGGGGGAGCUGAGCCGUCAGGGGAAGCCAGGGUUCAAUGAGGGGGGCGGUGUGGGGAAGGGAACGGUGGGGGAAGAGGAGGAAGGACGCAGGGAGUUUGCUGAUGAGGAGGGCUAGUUCCAGAGGCCCCUGGGAGAUGGUGAAGAGUGUUAGAGGGUGGAUGACCUUGGGGUUACUCUGUAGGUUGUGACUCCACAUCCAGCCCUGGGUGACCCUGGGUGCUCAGACUCAACAUUACGAACCACAGACCCGUCUCCUUCCCACCAAAUCUGCUUCUGACUUCCCAGUCUUGAGGGUGCGGCCACCAGUCUCCUGUUCACCGGUGACUGGCAGCCUGAGAUGUGACAGACUGCUCCCCUCUCCUCCUCUGAUACAGACGGCUGGGCCCAAACAGACAAGAGUGGAAGGGCUCCCAAAUCAAAUCCCUCCGGCUCUACUGCUGCACAUCUUCCCCGUCUUUCCUGCCCCUCCUCCAGGAGUUUACCUCCAUCCCCUCACCCCACCCCACCCCACAGAUUCCUUCUCUGCAUGCUCUCCCUACUGGUAGGGAGCUCCUAGUCCAAUGAGGAAACGGGACAUGAGUCUGGAAGGGAAGACCAGUAGACUGGGGAGGCUGGAAUCCCAGGGGCAGCAGUGUGGCCUUGCUUUGGGAAUCAGGAAUGAAAGUCUAGCUGGGCUGGCGGGGGCAGGGGUGUGUGCUAUGCCUGCCUGCCUCAGUCCUCACUUCCUUGCAUCAUGUCCCCUGGGACGGAUGCCUUCUGAGCUCUGCCUGCCGCCCCCCCACGAUGUCCCUUCCUUUCUUCUCUGCCUGAGCCCCAGACUCCCGCAGAGUGAGCUGCUAACUCUGGGCGGCCGUGGGCUGUUCAGUCGUUCUCCCUGUGACCUAUGAGCCAUGUUAAGGGCGUUGGUGAUUAUCCUUCAAGCCACAGGCAACCCCAUGCAGAACUGGUGCGGGUCAGAUUAGGGUGCUGGUGGGGUGUCUGAUGGGUGGGAUGGGGGAGGAGGACGUGAAAGAGGUGCGAUCAGAGCCUGGUCACCUGCCCACCUGCAGUCUUGGGCGCCUCUUCAGGCUAGUUUCUGCCAAAGUCCCUUCUUCUGCAUGGCCUGAGGAACAGGGGACUUUGUCCAGAUAGGGGAUAAGUCCAGAUGGCAGUAAGAACUGGCUGGGAGGAGGUUGGGUUCUGUCAACACCUGGGACCAUGGCUCCUGCCCCGUUGGAGAACAGGCGUGGGAGUGUGCUCUGGCUGUGUAGCUGACAAACACGAAGGCAGCGCUCCUGAGGAAGCAGAUGGUGCCUCCGCUCGACGCCUGUGGCGGCUUGGCUCUCUUACUCGCUGGUGGUGCAGCAGGCUGCAGCCCUGAGCAAUGAUCCCAGGGCGCAGAAGCGCGGAGAGGAGGCGCUGCAGCAGAUGGCAGCCCUGGCACAACGUCUCCGGCAGCAGAGAGCAGCUGCCCCUCCCUGGUUGAUGAGGAGGAAAUCUGGGCUAAUGGGGUUGCUGCGGCGAAUCCGUGUGAUGGAGAAGAUUCCUGUGUGCGCGGGGAGGUCGCAUCUGUGUGCAUUGGCAGGACCAGCUGAGCGUGGAGAAGGCCUGACGUACCUGGACCUGUGGGGCUCGGCAGGACGGGGUGAUCUCUUCUACACUACUGGGCGGGCCAAAAAGUGCCUUCAGUUUUUUAAAAAAUAAAAGCCACAUUUUUCAUUUUCACCAGGAACUUUAUUGAACGACGUAUUCACCCUUUUG